rnacentral:rRNA from 1 species
GAAUAUUGGACAAUGGGGGCAACCCUGAUCCAGCCAUGCCGCGUGUGUGAAGAAGGCCCUUGGGUUGUAAAGCACUUUCAGUGGGGAGGAAAGGCUGUUGGCGAAUACCCAUCAGCUGUGACGUUACCCACAGAAGACGCACCGGCCAACUCCGCGCUAGCAGCCGCGGUAAUACGGAGGGUGCGAGCGUUAAUCGGAAUUACUGGGCGUAAAGCGCACGUAGGCGGUUUGUUAAGCUGGAUGUGAAAGCCCCGGGCUCAACCUGGGAAUUGCACUCAGAACUGGCAGACUAGAGUACGGUAGAGGUGAGUGGAAUUUCCUGUGUAGCGGUGAAAUGCGUAGAUAUAGGAAGGAACAUCAGUGGCGAAGGCGACUCACUGGACUGAUACUGACGCUGAGGUGCGAAAGCGUGGGGAGCAAACAGG